GACGAACGCUGGCGGCGUGCUUAACACAUGCAAGUCGAACGGAAAGGCCCUGCUUGCAGGGUACUCGAGUGGCGAACGGGUGAGUAACACGUGGGUGAUCUGCCCUGCACUUCGGGAUAAGCCUGGGAAACUGGGUCUAAUACCGGAUAGGAGCCAUUUUUAGGGUGAUGGUUGGAAAGUUUUUUCGGUGUAGGAUGAGCUCGCGGCCUAUCAGCUUGUUGGUGGGGUAAUGGCCUACCAAGGCGGCGACGGGUAGCCGGCCUGAGAGGGUGGACGGCCACAUUGGGACUGAGAUACGGCCCAGACUCCUACGGGAGGCAGCAGUGGGGAAUAUUGCACAAUGGGCGCAAGCCUGAUGCAGCGACGCCGCGUGGGGGAUGACGGGCUUCGGGUUGUAAACUCCUUUCGCUAGGGACGAAGCUUUUUGUGACGGUACCUAGAUAAGAAGCACCGGCUAACUACGUG
rnacentral:rRNA from 1 species